UUCCGGUUGAUCCUGCCGGACCCGACUGCUAUCAGAGUGGGAUUAAGCCAUGCGAGUCAACGUAGCAAUACGUGGCAUACGGCUCAGUAACACGUAGUCAACAUGCCCAGAAGACGUGGAUAACCUCGGGAAACUGAGGAUAAACCGCGAUAGAUCAUAAUAUCUGGAAUGAUUUAUGGUCGAAAUCUAUAUGGCUUCUGGAUUGGACUGCGGCCGAUCAGGCUGUUGGUGAGGUAAUGGCCCACCAAACCUAAAACCGGUACGGGCUCUGAGAGGAGAAGCCCGGAGAUGGGUACUGAGACACGGACCCAGGCCCUAUGGGGCGCAGCAGGCGAGAAAACUUUGCAAUGUGCGAAAGCACGACAAGGUUAAUCCGAGUGGUUCCUGCUAAAGGGACCUUUUGACGGUCCUAAAAACACCGUUGAAUAAGGGGUGGGCAAGUUCUGGUGUCAGCCGCCGCGGUAAAACCAGCACCUCAAGUGGUCAGGAUGAUUAUUGGGCCUAAAGCAUCCGUAGCCGGCUCUGUUAGUUUUCGGUUAAAUCUGUACGCUCAACGUACAGGCUGCCGGGAAUACUGCAGAGCUAGGGAGUGGGAGAGGUAGACGGUACUUGGUAGGAAGGGGUAAAAUCCUUUGAUCUAUUGAUGACCACCUGUGGCGAAGGCGGUCUACCAGAACACGUCCGACGGUGAGGGAUGAAAGCUGGGGGAGCAAACCGGAUUAGAUACCCGGGUAGUCCCAGCCGUAAACCAUGCAAACUCAAUGAUGCACUGGCUUGAAGCCAAUGCAGUGUUGCAGGGAAGCCGUUAAGUUUGCCGCCUGGGAAGUACGUACGCAAGUAUGAAACUUAAAGGAAUUGGCGGGGGAGCACCACAAGGGGUGAAGCCUGCGGUUCAAUUGGAUUCAACGCCGGA
rnacentral:rRNA from 1 species